rnacentral:rRNA from 1 species
GAUGAACGCUAGCGACAGGCUUAACACAUGCAAGUCGAGGGGCAGCAUAGAAGUAGCAAUACUUUGGUGGCGACCGGCGCACGGGUGAGUAACGCGUAUGCAACCUACCUAUCAGGAGGGGGACUAACCCGGCGAAAGUCGGACUAAUACCGCAUAAAACAGGGGCACCGCAUGGUGAUAUUUGUUAAAGAUUAAUUGCUGAUAGAUGGGCAUGCGUUCCAUUAGGUAGUUGGUGAGGUAAUGGCUCACCAAGCCGACGAUGGAUAGGGGAACUGAGAGGUUGGUCCCCCACACUGGUACUGAGACACGGACCAGACUCCUACGGGAGGCAGCAGUGAGGAAUAUUGGUCAAUGGAGGCAACUCUGAACCAGCCACGCCGCGUGGACGAUGAAGGCCCUCUGGGUUGUAAAGUUCUUUAGUCUGGGACGAAAAAAGGAGAUUUAUCUUCGACUGACGGUACCAGAAGAAUAAGCACCGGCUAACUCCGUG